rnacentral:lncRNA from 1 species
AUUAAGUUACCUUGUUUGUUAUUGAUGGAAAAGUUCUAUAUGCUAGUUUGUGUCCAAAAAAUGAGAUUUUUUUUACCUCUUCACACACUUAGCAUUCUAUUUUGUCUCCCUUUCAAACAAAUAAGUUGGGUACGUGUUAUUAAAUGUAUUUUAUCUGUCUACCCAAGGACUAAUGUCACUUACUUUAAAGAUCUGAUAUUUUUAAUACUUUAAUGAAAAUACUCAAAAGUAUUACUACUGACAUCUUUGCUUACCUAUGCCC